UACGGAGGGAGCUAGCGUUGUUCGGAAUUACUGGGCGUAAAGCGCACGUAGGCGGCUUUGUAAGUUAGAGGUGAAAGCCCGAGGCUCAACCUCGGAACUGCCUUCGAUACUGCGGGUCUCGAGUCCGGGAGAGGUGAGUGGAAUUCCUAGUGUAGAGGUGAAAUUCGUAGAUAUUAGGAAGAACACCAGUGGCGAAGGCGGCUCACUGGCCCGGUACUGACGCUGAGGCGCGAAAGCGUGGGGAGCAAACAGG
rnacentral:rRNA from 1 species